CUCUCUCUCUCUCUCUCAAAUGAAUAAAUACAAUCGUAAAAAAAAAAAGGUCACUUGGCUCUUUCCUACAAAAUUAAAACAUACUCUUACCAUAUGAUCCAGCAAUUGUGCUCCUUGGUUGUAAAUCAAAUGACAAACCCCAGCACGCAGAUCUUUAUGACAUCUUUAUUUGUAAUAGCCGAAACUUGGAAGCAACCAAGAAUGUCUUUCAGGAGGCAAAUGGAUAUAUAAACUGCGGUACCCCCAGCCAAUGGAAUAGUAUUCAGUGCUACAAAGAAAGGAGCCAUCAAGCCAUGAAAAGACAUGGAGGAAACUUAACAGUGCAUUACUAAGUGAAGGAAGCCAGCCUGAAUAACCUCUAUACUGCAUGAUUCCAACUCCAUGAGAUUUUGGAAAAGGCGAAACUGUAGAUAUAGUAAGAAGAUCAGUGAUUGUCAGAGGCUAGUGGAGAGGGAGGGAUAAAGAGGCAAAGCACAGAGGGAUUUUAGGGCAGUGAAAUUAUUCUGUAUGAUAUUAUAAUGGUGGAUACACGUGAUUAUACAUUUGUCAAAACUCAUAGACUGUACAACACCACGAGUGAAAUCUAAUGUAAACUAUGGACUUUGGUUGAUAAUGAUGUAUCAAUGUAGGCUCAUCAAUUACAACAAAUAUACCACCCCGGUGAGGGAUAUUGAUAAUGGGAUAGGCUGUGGGUGUGUGGCUGUGGAGUUAAUAUGGGAACUCUGUUCUUUCUGUCCAAUUUUGCUAAAACUGCUCUAACAAAGUGUGUUCAAUAAAUAAAUACUUUAAAUAAUUCAAUAUUCACUUACUGUAUGACCUUGUCAUUCCAUUCCUAGGUAUUUACACAAGAGAAAUAAAAACAUAUGCCCACAUAAAGUCUAGGACACAAAUGUUCAGAGCAGCUUUAUUCAUAUGAACUAAAACCUGGAAACAACGCAAAUGUCUGUUAGUGGGUGAAUGAAUAAACAAACUAGGGCAUAUCUAUGAAAUGGAACACUCCUGGCAAUCAAAAGGAACAAACUACUGAUAACCAUCAUUAUGCUGAGUCAAAGAAGCGAGAAGCAAAAUGGAUGUUGUGGGACGGCUGGGCUAGCAUGCUUCCUGUGGUGUGGGCUGGAGCACCGGCGUGCCUGGAAGACCCAAAGCACUGGUUAUCGGUGGGCCAGAGGUCUGCUCCGCAUGGUUACUUGAGCUUCCGCGUGGCGUGGCCACUAGGUUCCAAGAAGCAGCAUUUCAAGCGUGCAAGAACUUUUUUAAAGGGAAAGAAACCCAAAACAUACCCACCGGACACUGCAUCACCCUGUACUGCUAACUUUACAAGGACACGUACCACAUCGGCUUUAGAACCUCAGUAUGAUUCCUGCCCUUGGCACAACGCCGGCCAUGUGAAAGUUCUUCAUGGAUGUUCGUUGAAUGAAUGAAUGACAGAAUGGAAAGACAAAUGCAUGAAAAAACAAAGCGGUGGUAAGAGGGGGCCCAACAUAGAGGAGACACUCACAACAAACUCAGUAUACAACUGCUUGACCUCCUCCACGUAAUUUGGUAGUUGAGCUCCAUGGGAUGAGACCCAUUGUCUUUGAAGCCCUCACGGUGCCUUGCCUCUAGUAGGGGGAGCUCACUAAAUGUUGCAUGAAACUAUAAAUGAUGGUUUAUCUUUUUCUUACUAGGAUUAUUUCUGCAGACUUUCCAGCAGCAGGUAAAUGCAUGCCUGGUGGCAGAUCAUGUGCAAGGACUGUACUAAUGGCUGUUGUAAUAGGAAGCUGUGCUGGUUGGGGUUGGGUUUGUUAUAAAAUAACAACAACAAAAAAAAAAGGAUGUUUUUUUUAAAUGAAAAGUUUCUUUCUAAUGUUCUGGGCAGGCAGCCCAGGGUUGGAAGAGAGCUCUAUGGUGUGAAGAACCCAGGUUUCUUCUAUCUUUUUGCUCUGCCACAAGUGGCUUCCAUUCCCAAGAUCACCUCAUGGUCCAAAAUGGCUCCUGGGGCUCUGGUCAUUUCAUCAGAAUUCCAGCAAGAAGGAAAGAGUAAGAGAACUAUAUGCUUCCUCUCCAGAAGUUGCAUAGGUGACCUCCAUUUACAUCCCAUUGGCCAGAACUUUGUCAAGAGAGCCUAAUUAAUGUAAAUUUUAUUCUGGGGUGUCUUGUUCCCAGGUCAUGAUUGGGGGUUCUCUAAGUGUGGAAGAAAAGAAGAACUGACGUUGGGAAACAACUGGCAGCUUCUGUCACCAAGCUGUCCUCAGCCGUUCUAUCACCAGCCAACCAGAGUCUCAUCGAAUGUGUAACACCUGCUGUAACAAUGCAGGGAAAAUCACCAUGACACGUGGCUUGGGGUUAUCAGGUGGUUGGGGCUGCUGUUGAUAAACACUUCUUUAGUUGCCCCUGAACGGCACACUUCCAUUUCUAGCGCAAUCUCUGCUCUUGUCACAGGGAUGACAUGGGUCACUGCUUUCUGCCUAGCAGAGCUGGACCAGAAACUGCAAGUCAGCGUCUUUCCUGCUGCAGCGAUUGCUCAUGUCCCGUGGGUCAUGACUGGCUGCAACUCUCAAAUCAUCAGAGAAAUCAAGAAGUGCUGUGAGGGAUUCUGAUUAUAUAAAUGGGGAAAGAAAUAGAAGAGGCUCAAGUUUCUGAGUUUAUCUCUAAGGGUCACUCUUGUGGGGCCAUGGGGUGCUGCCCUUUCUGACAUCACCAUGGAAGGCACUGGAGGGCAACUAGAUGUGAGAGUAGAAGUGCUAUGCUCAGCCCUUUAGAGCAAAGGAAAAGGAAGCAGUAUUUCUGUCGGAAGCUAUGGUUUCGUUGGAUGCCGUGCAAGCCCUGUGGUCACCAGCAUUCAAGGCAGCCCUCAGCGAUCUUUGCUUCCUGGUACGCAUGUGCUCAUAGGGUCCCCUCCCGUACUGAAUCGGGGCUGACCUGUAUGACCAAUAGCAUACAGGAGAGGUGGCAAUACAUGACUCCUAGGGCUGUUAUAAAAGGCAUCGUGACUUCCGCCUUGGUCUCUUGGACGGAUUGCUCUGGGGGAAGCCAGCACCGUGCACCAAGGACACGCUAGCCAUGCUAUGGGGAGGCCCGUGUGGAAAGGAGCCAAGACCUCCUGCCAAGCAGCAACUUAUGCACCUAAUGCAGUGAGCAGCCCUAGAAGCGGUUCCUCUAACCCCCCUCCAGCCAUCGGAUGACUGCAGCCCUAGUUGCCUUCCAGCGGGACUGUCUGAGAAGUUCCGUCCAGAACCACCCAGCUCAGCCACUCCUAAGGAAGCUUAUUGUUGCUUUACGCCACUAUGUUUUGGGGGUAAUUUGUUAUGCGGCAGUGGAUAACUAGCACAUCCUUUAUAUAUAAUGUAUUUGUCACGACAACACUCUGAACUAGGCAUUAGAACCCCCAUUUUACUGAUAAGGAGAUCAAGGCUUAGAAGGUGAGCUUAUUUUCCCAGGUCAGAGCAGCUGGCGGAAGCAAAGCUGGCGCUCCUGUGCAUGGAACAGCUGCUCAUUGUGCUCGAUGCCAUGGGGACCAUCUAGGACUUCCAGAAUGCCUGGCAGCAGAGGAAAGCUAACUGUUCCUAAAUGAACUGAGUUACAGUGAGGUUGACACUUAGAGUGCAACUUGUUACAGUGAGGUUUACCUGCUAACAUUCGGGCUUAUACAGGCCCAGUAGGCAGUUGUGGAUCUGUGCCCUAAAACUCACAACUAGUUUGAAACUCAAGGCCAUGACCGCCUGUCACGGGAGCCCCCACUUAGGUCCUUGGGAUGCAGAAAGGUCCCUAAACUCCCAGCCGAAGUUUAAGCAGUCUCAAAACAAUGACGGGAUCUCACUACAUUGAUUUAAAGUGUUCCGAAUGCCGAGGGCAGGGAUGGGGUGUAUGGCAAGGAAUGUGGAAUGGAAUGAUCACUUGCCCUUCACUUUAUUCCUGUGAUGGGUCAGUUUCCAUUUAACAGCGUGGCCGCCUGCCAAGGUGCUGACGGGGCCAAAUUCAGUUCGUGCCUGCUUGUCAGCAAAAGAAUGUGAGCGUUCCUCUGAAGUCACAUCAAGUAAUGAGCUUCUGAGCUCCCCUCUUGGACUAACUGGUUGGCGUCUGUCUCAUUCUGGCCAGAGCCCUCAAUGAGAGACCAGCAGCCACUUGAUGUCUCGUGCAAACUUUUGGUCCUGCUGUCCUACUGGCGAAGAAACCUGGAGACGGGUAGGAGAGAGGCCUGUCCUCGUUCCCCAGCCUUCUCCAUCACCCUCCAGACGCAGAACUGCUCUGGCAACCACACAGGCAGCCAAGUAAAUAAAUGAGGAAGGAAGGUCUCUUUCUGAAGGAUGAAAUGUCACUUCUAAAACAGAAUUCAUUCUCUCUUUUCAGCUCUCUCAAACUUUCCAUUCUACGGGCGGUGCCAGUAUGCCCCUGAGCUCAAAACUUCAGCAUCGACAUUGAUGGUUUCCUCCCCUCGGUCCUUCAGAUUGAUCCAACCACCCAGGCUUCUCCAUUGCACCUUCAGAAUCCCCUAGGAUGAUUUCCUUGCCAUUCCUGCCCUGCCUGUGGGUCGUCACCUAGAUGGGUGCCUGGGCCUGAUUCCCUCUCCCCUUCAGUGGCUCUAAACUAUCCUCAAGCUGUUUAUCCACCUUUCAAGACACUGCGUAAUUGUUUCCUGCCUCACUUUAUUUUCCACAGCUCCCCAGCGCUAGUCCCCGUACACAGACACGCACAUGUGUAUGCACGAACAUGCACACACGUACACGGACACGCAAGCACACUCCGUGCCUUGCACCAUCCCCCACCUUUCUCUUGGGCUGCCUCCUCUGCAGCCUGGAAUGUUCUUUGUACUCCAGACACUUUGUACAACAGACACUGGCAUUGUCUGUUGUAACCCACCCGGGGAGGAAAACUUACUGACCACCUCAGACACCAGUCUCCCAUACUCUUUCCUUCCACCACCUCCACAGGCUGUUACUUUCAGAGACCAGCCCCGCCUCAGCGCUACCCCCAUUUUCCGGAUCCCUCGGGCUUCUGGAAUCCCUCUGGACUCAAGAAGGCUUUGAGACCACAGACAGGGAACGGAUGGACGGUAAAGCACCGCCCCCGAGGGCCAGCUCACCAGCGCAGCUAAGCGGAGCCACCAUCCUAGGGGCCACGCUGUGCCGGGAUUCGUGGCCUGCUGGGCUGAAGGAAAAGCACCCGCUAAUUGGUUCAGACCACAAAGGUCAAGCCCACGAACACCCAGUAAGACAGGCAUGGUGAAAGCCACAGAAGGCCAGGAGAGAAGAGAGCGGCUGCCCUGAGUGGUGCUGGAUGUGAUUAGAAGUGGCGACAGGGGUGACGAACAGCAGUGGAGAAGUGAGGGGCUGAUGAAGGGACAGAAGACACCUGUCCUGUCCUGUCCUGCCUAGAGAGCAGAGGUCUGCCGCGGCCGGAGCAGGGGGGGCAGGCGUGUGUGUGUGACCCUUCGGCAUCGGCCACCAGAGGCUGCCCCUCCAGCGCCUCCAGGGCCCAAGCAGGUGACGUAAGUGUGCGAAGUAGGGCAGGUAUUAGGAGCAGACAGGGGUAGGGGCCAUGACUGGUGGAAGAGCACACACACCAUCGAAAGGCCUCCAAACGCACUCCUUCUUAAGAUAUCGUGGAGGCUAAACAGCACGUGUAUUGGGCCCAAACGUGGCCGACAGACAUCCGGCCUGUAAUCCCUGGGCACCGUAGGCGCGAGGACAACACACCACGAGGACCGAUGAUGGGAAUGGUGGCCCUGCGUUGCCAACGUGUUGGUUAAGCUCUUUCAGACUGCCUAGAGGGUUAUUUUAACUGUACCUGGGGAGUCAGCUAGAGAACACGGCUUCACCAGCCACGGAGUAUAGUCCGUGAUCCGUCAGGAAUCAUAGCCGCUCCCGUGGCUGCACAGAGCUUUAGAAGGUCAGCGGGGGAGAGGCCCAGCAUCUUAUCACUCCCUCAGUAGCAGCCCUUGGUGGUUUCCCCGCCUUAAACGCUAUGCCACAGUUACGAUUCUCCUGCUGUUACCCUGUCACUUUUAGACUCUCCUUCUCUCCACCUUUUGGUUUCUGCCUGUUCCUGACUUCCAUUGCUUUGUAGCAACUGCUUGUUUGUGACUUGUCUUGCUUUAUGGCUUCUGCCUCUCCUUGCGUGACUCAAUUUCUGCUUCACAGGUGAGCCAGUUAACAGCUACCUAGCACCUUCACUGGAGAGCUCUCAGGUCAGACCACCACGUAGGCUACUCGCUGACCUGCGGAUGGGUGCUUGCAGGGAAGUUCCAAGAGUCGGAAUCAACUUAGCCUUGGCCAGAGAAUAAUGGUCACUUGGUGCAAAGCAUGGGACUCAUUCACAAGGAGCCACUGAUUCUUGCUCUCAGAAGGGGCAGUGGCCCUGGGAGAUACCUGGAGUGUCAUGGCCACAACACUAAGAUAUCUUUAAAAAAAAAAAAAAAGAUUUUAUUUAUUUAUUUGAGAGAGAGAGAGCACAAGCUGGUGGGGGGGUGGGCAGAGGGAGAGGGAGAAACAGGCU